rnacentral:rRNA from 1 species
GACGAACGCUGGCGGCGUGCUUAACACAUGCAAGUCGAACGAUGAAGCCCAGCUUGCUGGGUGGAUUAGUGGCGAACGGGUGAGUAACACGUGGGUGAUCUGCCCUGCACUCUGGGAUAAGCCCGGGAAACUGGGUCUAAUACCGGAUAUGACCUCUUGCUGCAUGGCGAGGGGUGGAAAGUUUUCGGUGCAGGAUGAGCCCGCGGCCUAUCAGCUUGUUGGUGGGGUAAUGGCCUACCAAGGCGACGACGGGUAGCCGGCCUGAGAGGGCGACCGGCCACACUGGGACUGAGACACGGCCCAGACUCCUACGGGAGGCAGCAGUGGGGAAUAUUGCACAAUGGGCGAAAGCCUGAUGCAGCGACGCCGCGUGAGGGAUGACGGCCUUCGGUUGUAACCUCUUUCAGUCAGGGACGAAGCGAAGUGACGGUA